CAGGGAAAGUGAAAUGAGAGAGAGAAUAGGAGACGACGAAGAAAAGGGGGGAGAAGAAGGAGAAGAAGAUGGAGACAGAAGACGAAGACGAAGACGAGGAGGAGAAGAAGAAGAGAGCAGACGAAGAAUACCUCAGCUUCUUCAAUUGAUCUGAACAGGGUAGAAAUGUCGACGCCUUGAUUUUGUAUUGACAAGCUGUGCCCUCUGUGUCUCAGAUCCAAAUAUGAUUUUCCUUUGCCCUUUAGGUAUUUUGGAGCCGCAUCCUGGAGCUAUCGACAGCAGCCUAAGCAAGUCACACCUGGAAAUGGGCAAACCAGAAAAACAGAAGCGCACAGUUACAAUUGAUGAAAUGGUGGGAGGAAGAAAGGAAAGUAUUCUGUGGACGAGCAGACUCAUUCAUUGCACUCAUGCAUCUUGUCCAAGGGGUGAUGCAUAGGGAUUUGAAGCCUGAGAAUUUCUUGUUCUUGAGCACCGAUGAGGACUCGCCGUUGAAAGCUACUGACUUUGGGCUUUCAUUGUUCUACAAAUCAGGAUAUUGUAAUACUUGGAAGAAAAAUGCUCUGUUUGGUACUUGUGGGAGGAAGGAAAGAAGCCAAAGGGAAGGGGAGAGCUUGGAGGUUCUGUUAGGCUGGAUUUGGAUUAUGGAUUUUGGGUAGGAAUUUUGAAAGGGAAAGGAAAAUAUGAAUGAAAUAUAUACUAAAUUUUUUCUCCAUUUCCUUCACCUUUUUCUUUCCCUUCUCGAAUCCAUUAUUCACGUGUUAAGAAGGUUUUAAAAGAUUGUAUUUUAGUGCAAUAAAGAAUGUAUAAUUCUUUUAAGCCUUUUUAACAUGUGCCCUGGGGGCGCAUGUGUUAACAAAAUCCUUUCUCUUAUCGACAAACAACAAGCUUGUGUUGUGUUGAACAAAUGAGGGAGAAUUAUUGUUCCUUUACUGCUACCAACCUUUUUAUAUCUCCUAUUUAAUUUGCCUCUUGAUUUCUAUCCA